CACGUCAGCGCGCUUUGCUGACGUGGCAAUAAAUCGCGUCCACGAGGGGACGAUUUGUUGCCACGUCAGCAAAGCGCGCUGACGUGG
rfam:Gossypium hirsutum cultivar TM-1 chromosome 9, whole genome shotgun sequence